rnacentral:rRNA from 1 species
UGCAAGUCGAACGGGACUUUUUCUGGUAGCAAUACCGGGAAAAGUUUAGUGGCGAACGGGUGCGAAACACGUGGGCAAUCUGCCGAGAAGUGGGGGAUAGCUCGCCGAAAGGCGAAUUAAUACCGCAUAUGAUCAGCCAAGACAUCUUGGCGAAAUCAAAGCCGGGGCGACCUGGCGCUUUUUGAGGAGCCCGCGGCCUAUCAGCUUGUUGGUGAGGUAACGGCUCACCAAGGCUUUGACGGGUAGCUGGUCUGAGAGGACGACCAGUCACACUGGAACUGAGACACGGUCCAGACGCCUACGGGUGGCAGCAGUCGAGAAUUUUUCUCAAUGGGGGAAACCCUGAAGGAGCGACGCCGCGUGGAGGAUGAAGGCUUUCGGGUUGUAAACUCCUGUCAUUUGAGAACAAGGCACGCGUGUUAACUGCACGAGUGUUGAUAGUAUCAGAAGAGGAAGGGACGGCUAACUCUGUGCCAGCAGCCGCGGUAAUACAGAGGUCCCAAGCGUUGUUCGGAUUCAUUGGGCGUAAAGGGUGCGUAGGUGGCGCCGUAAGAGGGGUGUGAAAUCUCGGGGCUUAACUCCGAAACUGCAUUCCAUACUGCGGUGCUCGAGGACUGGAGAGGAGACUGGAAUUCAUGGUGUAGCAGUGAAAUGCGUAGAGAUCAUGAGGAAGACCAGUGGCGAAGGCGGGUC